rnacentral:rRNA from 1 species
AUGCACGCUGGCGGCGUGCCUAAUACCUGCAAGUCGAGCGAACAGACGAGGAGCUUGCUCCUCUGACAUUAGCGGCGGACGGGUGAGUAACACGUGGAUAACCUACCUAUAAGACUGGGAUAACUUCGGGAAACCGGAGCUAAUACCGGAUAAUAUAUUGAACCGCAUGGUUCAAUAGUGAAAGACGGUUUUGCUGUCACUUAUAGAUGGAUCCGCGCCGCAUUAGCUAGUUGGUAAGGUAACGGCUUACCAAGGCAACGAUGCGUAGCCGACCGGAGAGGGUAUCGGGCAACCCGGGACCUGAGCAACGUUCCAGCCUCCGAGGGGGGGCAGAAGGAGGGAAUCUUCCGCAUAGGGCGAAAGCCUGACGGGGAAACCCCGCGGGAGUAAUGAAGGUCUUCGAAUCGUAAAACUCUGUUUUUGGGAAAAAACAAAUGUUUAAGUAACUUUGCCCGUUUGGACGGGACCUAAUCAGAAAGCCCCGGCUAACUACGU